GGACCCGCACAAGUAGUGGAGCAUGUGGUUUAAUUCGAAGAUACGCGCAGAACCUUACCAACACUUGACAUGUUCGUCGCGACUUUAAGAGAUUAAAGUUUUCGGUUCGGCCGGACGAAACACAGGUGCUGCAUGGCUGUCGUCAGCUCGUGUCGUGAGAUGUUGGGUUAAGUCCCGCAACGAGCGCAACCCUCACUUUUAGUUGCCAUCAUUAAGUUGGGCACUCUGAAAGAACUGCCAGUGAUAAGCUGGAGGAAGGUGGGGAUGACGUCAAGUCCUCAUGGCCCUUACGUGUUGGGCUACACACGUGCUACAAUGGUAUCUACAACAGGAAGCAAGACGGCGACGUC
rnacentral:rRNA from 1 species